CUGCUCGCUUUGGCAGCACAUAUACUAAAAUUGGAACAAUACAGAGAUUAGCAUAGCUCCUGCGCAAGGAUUACACGCAAAUUCGUGAAGUGUUCCAUAUUUAA
rnacentral:snRNA from 1 species